GCGUCUUUAAUUCAGUUGGUAGAAUACAGAUCUCCAAAAUCUGCGAUGGGGGUUCGAAUCCUUCAAGACGCG
rnacentral:tRNA from 1 species